CUUUGCACUGGACUUUGAGCCUGCUUGUGUAGGAUAGGUGGGAGGCUUUGAAGCGUGGACGCCAGUUCGCGUGGAGCCAUCCUUGAAAUACCACCCUGGCAUGCUUGAGGUUCUAACUCUGGUCCGUGAUCCGGAUCGAGGACAGUGUAUGGUGGGCAGUUUGACUGGGGCGGUCUCCUCCUAAAGAGUAACGGAGGAGUACGAAGGUGCGCUCAGACCGGUCGGAAAUCGGUCGCAGAGUAUAAAGGCAAAAGC
rnacentral:rRNA from 1 species